CCUACGGGAUGCAGCAGUGGGGAAUAUUGCACAAUGGGCGCAAGCCUGAUGCAGCCAUGCCGCGUGUAUGAAGAAGGCCUUAGGGUUGUAAAGUACUUUCAGUUGGGAGGAAGGCGUUGAUGCUAAUACCAACAACGAUUGACGUUACCAACAGAAGAAGCACCGGCUAACUCCGUGCCAGCAGCCGCGGUAAUACGGAGGGUGCAAGCGUUAAUCGGAAUUACUGGGCGUAAAGCGCACGCAGGCGGUUGAUUAAGUUAGAUGUGAAAUCCCCGGGCUUAACCUGGGAAUGGCAUCUAAGACUGGUCAGCUAGAGUCUUGUAGAGGGGGGGUAGAAUUCCCUGUGUAGCGGUGAAAUGCGUAGAGGUGUGGAGGAAUACCGGUGGCGAAGGCGGCCCCCUGGACAAAGACUGACGCUCAGGUGCGAAAGCGUGGGGAGCAAACAGGAUUAGAUACCCGCGUAGUC
rnacentral:rRNA from 1 species